AUGGUCGGCGGCCUCACCGGCGAACGGCGCCUCCAUAGGGACCGGGCGCGGGACGCGCUCCCCUGGGCCAAACGCCUAGAGGUUUUAGUGUUUCUGGACCGGGAAGAUUGCAAAAAAGUCUUUGAACCUUCUCAACUUCUUUCGUCUUUUAGGGAAACCACAAAACUUUCGAGAGGAAAGGGUUGGAGGGGGAGCUCUCCUUGGGAGAAAAAACCUCAACAAGCAGAGAGGCCACAAAGGCUCCCCACGCCGUGCCCGGAUCCCCUCCGGCACCCCAAGGGCUGUCCGGGGUGGUGGGAAAACGCCAAGCCCCGGGAGCGCGUCCGUGGGUCCGGGACGGCGGGGCCUCCGCAGGGUGCCUGGCCCUUGGUGACCUCGGCGGAGACGGCGGGCUGCGCGGCGGAAAGCGGAGGAACUCCAGUCCGGCCCCGGAGUCGCCCGCGCCGCGCCCGGAGCCACCCGCCGCCCCUUCGCGUCUGGGCGCUCCAGGCGCGGGGCCCCAGAGGCUCCCGGUCCCUGGCCUCCCCUACUGGGUUCGGGGCAGUUGGCCGUGGACGCGCCCCAAGUCCAGUCCCUUCCGUCCAGCCGCCCGCCCCAGGAUGUCCCCCCACCGCAGCCCCGCCGUGGCCAGGAGGUGUGGGCGGCCACGCCGGAGGGACCCGCGGCGGCGCCGGACGUCAGCCCUUCGUAGGCCCUGACCCGGCCUGGGUGGGCCGGGACGUUCCCUGUUGCACAGGCAUUUAUUUAUUCAGCAGCUACUACGUGCUGGCCGGCACUGCCGAGGGACCGCACGCCUGCCCCAGGCGGGACAAUGCCGGGAGCAGCGCUAGCGGGGCCUGGACGCCCAACUUCGGGGUCCCCAGCCCCUCAGUCUGAGGGGCGCCUCCCAGGCCCUGGACUCCUCUCCAGCCGGGUCUACACCACCGUCCCCCGUCAUCUUCUUCUGGGUUACUGAGCAGCUUCUUUUAAAAUAGCAACACCGAGGAAGGCCCCGAAGCCCAGUCUUGCACCUCGUGGUGUGAAGUCGUUUAAUCCUGCCCGCUAAUGCGAAAGGACUUUCCACCGUGUGCAGGACUCGGCGCUGGGCAGGGGCUCUCGCAGGGUUUGAACCGACCUCCGCCUCCCCUGCGGGUUCGCAGGCCGGCGAGGGAGUCGCGGGAAGGAGACGCGCUACUGUGCGAGGCUGGCCUGAGCGGCUUGGGCUGUAGCUGUCCCGGGCUGGGGACAGCUUUCGGCUCCCCAGGCCAUUCCGUCGGGGUAUCUGCGGCCAAUCUCGAAGGUGAAGAGGCUCAGGGUUGGCACAGACUUCACGGGAGGGGUCCUAGAGGGGGAAAGGGGUGGUAUUUGCCCUUAGCGCAGUCUGGGCGUGAAGCGGAAACUUUAAACCACCAGAAACUCUGGAGAGCUUGGAGCACCUGGGAAGGAGCAACCAGAGUGGGCCGGAGUUAGGGAAGGAAGGCAUCGAGGCGAAUUCGCCCGCUUUCACCGCCUUUAGGGCGUCCGCUUGUGCAGCCAGCCUUCUGGAAGGUAGGCUUUGCGCUUGGUGAAGAGAAGCCCCCUCCUCCGGAUCUGUGUUCCGCCCCAGUCCAUGAAUAAGGAGGUGAUCACACAAGUCAAGCUUCUCUAGUUCUCGGUGGAAUGAGACGCCCUUAUGGGGUCUUAAGGUUGAAUGUUUGAAUACUGUAAAAAAGAUGGGACCUGCCUACAAUUAAUCUCUCACACUACUGAGCGAAUGUGCAUUGCUGUGGACUUCUCUAAAUUGGCCCAAAUGCAUAGCCAGCGCUUGCAUUGUGGUGUACUAACAACAUCAUUCAGAACCAAACCAAACCAUUCUUAUUUAAACCUUGCUUCCUAGUUUAUUUUUUCCCAAACAAGUUGAAAACAUUUGUUAUGCUAAAAUGUCUACAUCUUAUUACUUAAAAAAAAAAAAAAGUAACAAACUUUGCUGCUGCCGUAAUUUUAUGUCACUGAGGUGAACUUUUCUAUUCUACAAUAUUUGUAAUUUCAAAUUUGUUAAACUUUCAGCUAAGUAGUUUUACCCAAAUUCUAAAACCAGUGAGGAAUCCAAAACAGCACGCAGCAUUAAAUGACGUUUAUUGUUCCAUAAAUCUUCAGACUUCAAAAAGAAACGCUAAAUAGACAAACAGAACUCUAAAGCAAUUAAGAGACAAGCUCGCUGCUUCUUCCCCACUGAUUGGCACAGGAAACAUUUGGUCAUGCAAAAGCCGUUAAAAUGACGGAAAGGAGAGUUGCCACUCUCUAGCCUUUUUUGUUCUGAUCAAGUUUGAACUCUGCUGUUCAGAGUUCACACAAUUUAUGUAGUAACAGACCUUCAGAGAAUUCCUAAUGGUCAAGACAAUGAAAUUGCAUUUAUAUCUGUAAAAGGAAAAGAAACAUGAAGAUUAUCCCCAUUUUAGAGGUGGACACAUUUAGAUUUGAUUUGGGCUCCAGUGAUCCUUGGCAAAGAAAGAUGAUGCAAUCCGGUGGCCAGGACGCCAUAUUGCCCUAGUCUGAACCGUGUUCUAGCCGCUGAAGAGCCUAUUCUGUGGCUUUCAAAAUGCUCUUUUCUCCUGGCUUUACGUUUUCUCUCCAGCGCUAAAUUCGUGGAGAUAAGCUGCAAUAAGCAAAGCUCCCACUGUCAAUGUCCUAAUCUUGAGUGGCAGGAAAAUUAGUAAUAUCAAAAAUGGGAGUAGACAGUGAAAAUUAUUUUAAAAGAUAAUUCUAUUAUGUACAAAUUUAAAAUCUACCAGGUGGGCCGGGGCGCGGUGGUUCACGCUAGUAAUCCCAGCACUUUGGGAGGCUGAGGUGGGAGGAUCACCUGAGG